UGUUAUUUUCCAUCGUAAUUUUUUUUUUGUUUUGUUUUGUUUUAUUCGUUCCUUUAAACUUUUCAUGUAUGUGCGCUCAUAAGAUGAAAAAGCAGACUGAUCAAAUUGAUUUCAUUCUAGUUGAGUAGUUUCUUCGCACGAAAAUCGGUGGCAAAAACAAAAAAAUUGCAUAAUAUAUUACAUAGUUUUGUUUUAUGAACAACGAAAAUGAAAUAAGCAAUUUUUUUUAAAGUGUACACAUGGUGAGCGCAGAAACGAAUUAAAUCUGCGCGAGAACAGACGGCACGACAAAUAAACGUUUAAUAAUUAUUGUUCACCAAAUUAGAAAUGUUCUACUUCAUUUUUUUCGUCAUUAAUGGUGGAUUGAUAAAGUGAUAACCAAAAAGUGGGAACGAGAGAGAGAGAGAGAGAGAGAGAGAGAGAGAGAGAGAGA